AUUAACAUUUAGCAUUUUGAAGUAUUUGUGUACAGAACAGAGAGUGUUGAUCAACUGGUUUUAUUAUUCUAGCAUAAUUUUAGUGCACUUUCUUGAAAUUCCUGUUUUUAGCUUGUUAACUCUUUAUAGUUUGAGUCUGGGCCCAGAACAGGCAUUUCAAAAACGACUCAAACGACUUUCCUAGAUAUUUAUAGUUUAUGUAAAUCAUAGGUGGAAAAUAAUUCAAGCUAAUUGGCCUAACAGUGAACUCUA